AUUGAACGCUGGCGGCAGGCCUAACACAUGCAAGUCGAGCGGAUGAAGGGAGCUUGCUCCUGGAUUCAGCGGCGGACGGGUGAGUAAUUCCUAGGAAUCUGCCUUGUAGUGUGGGAUAACGUCCGGAAACGGGCGCUAAUACCGCAUACGUCCUGAGGGAGAAAGUGGGGGAUCUUCGUACCUCACGCUAUCAGAUGAGCCUAGGUCGGAUUAGCUAGUUGGUGGGGUAAAGGCCUACCAAGGCGACGAUCCGUAACUGGUCUGAGAGGAUGAUCAGUCACACUGGAACUGAGAAACGGUCCAGACUCCUACGGGAGGCAGAAGUGGGGAAUAUUGGACAAUGGGCGAAAGCCUGAUCCAGCCAUGCCGCGUGUGUGAAGAAGGUCUUCGGAUUGUAAAGCACUUUAAGUUGGGAGGAAGGGCAGUAAGUUAAUACCUUGCUGUUUUGACGUUACCAAAAGAAUAAGCACCGGCUAACUUCGUG
rnacentral:rRNA from 1 species